GGGGAAUCUUCCGCAAUGGACGAAAGUCUGACGGAGCAACGCCGCGUGAGUGAUGACGGCCUUCGGGUUGUAAAGCUCUGUUAAUCGGGACGAAUGGUUCUUGUGCGAAUAGUGCGAGGAUUUGACGGUACCGGAAUAGAAAGCCACGGCUAACUACGUGCCAGCAGCCGCGGUAAUACGUAGGUGGCAAGCGUUGUCCGGAAUUAUUGGGCGUAAAGCGCGCGCAGGCGGAUUGGUCAGUCUGUCUUAAAAGUUCGGGGCUUAACCCCGUGAUGGGAUGGAAACUGCCAAUCUAGAGUAUCGGAGAGGAAAGUGGAAUUCCUAGUGUAGCGGUGAAAUGCGUAGAUAUUAGGAAGAACACCAGUGGCGAAGGCGACUUUCUGGACGAAAACUGACGCUGAGGCGCGAAAGCCAGGGGAGCGAACGGGAUUAGAUACCCCGGUAGUCCUGGCCGUAAACGAUGGGUACUAGGUGUAGGAGGUAUCGACCCCUUCUGUGCCGGAGUUAACGCAAUAAGUACCCCGCCUGGGGAGUACGAUCGCAAGGUUG
rnacentral:rRNA from 1 species